UCAUCUUCUUCACUCUUCCACCGUGCCCUAGUUUUAUCCAGUAAGACAUAUUGUGGAUAUUGCAAUAGGAUGAAGUUGUUGCCGUCCCACUUAGAAGCAACUUACAAAGUCAUUGAAUUUAAUUGAUGAAGAAAGUGAUGACAGUGGCACACCGCCUCUUUCUAGUGUUGGAUUAAGUGAUUCAGCGAGGGUUUGAUUAUUGAUUCAUUGGACUGAUUUUUCCACCAUACAUCGGUUUAGGUUUUAAUGGAUGUUUUGUAAGAGACAUACGUACAAGAAAGUGUCUAUGAAGUUUUGUGUUUAUUUGCUAUUUACAUGUAUGCAAGUGUAAUUGUGUAAAUAAUUUUUUUUACAAGUUAAAUCUCAACAAAAAAUGUUUAAGUUUGUGAUCCCUGUUCCGAUGUGGUGUGGGUCAGUUGCAAUCCCUGUUCCGAUUGCCCAACAUCGAGCGGCCUCCAGAUUGAGUUAGAGUUUUUCGACCCGUCCGGCUCAUCAUCCAUAUCACCGAUUUCAUGUUCAGAUAAAAGGUGUGCGUUGGGAGCACAAUCAUCCGAUUCUCUUUGUUCAAGUUAGUGUGGAUAUACAUUUCAGUAUGGUGACGGUAGUGGCAGUUCCGGGUACUAUCUAUCGGACUCAAUGUAUUUCGACUAGGCAGUUGGGGAUUCAUUGACAUUGAAUUCUUCAGCAACUGUUGUUUUUUGGAUGAGCCCCUAUAUGUUUGUAUUGCACAAUUGUUGGUUUUUUUAGUCAUUUAUUUAAUUGAUAUUUUUUCGUUUU